rnacentral:rRNA from 1 species
GAUGAACGCUAGCGACAGGCCUAACACAUGCAAGUCGAGGGGCAGCAUAGAGUAGCAAUACUUUGAUGGCGACCGGCGCACGGGUGAGUAAUACGUAUGCAACCGACCUACAUCGGGGGAAUAACCCGGAGAAAGUCGGACUAAUACCGCAUACUACAGGGAUGCCGCAUGGCAAUAUUUGUUAAAGAUUUAUAGGAUGUAGAUGGGCAUGCGUUCCAUUAGCUGGUUGGUAAGGUAACGGCUUACCAAGGAAACGAUGGAUAGGGGAACUGAGAGGUUUGUCCCCCACACCGGAACUAGGAAACGGACCAGACUCCUACGGGAGGCAGCAGUGAGGAAUAUUGGUCAAGGGACGAGAGUCUGAACCAGCCAAAUCGCGUGAAGGAAGACUGCCCUACGGGUUGUAAACUUCUUUUGUACAGGGAUAAAAGACAUUACGUGUAAUGUAUUGCAUGUACUGUACGAAUAAGCAUCGGCUAACUCCGUGCCAGCCGCCGCCGUAA